UAUGUAGUGCCUGAUAAAAGGAUAGCUUUGAUAGAGCUAAUAAUGUGUUAUUAACCCUCACCUACAUAA
rnacentral:tRNA from 1 species